CCUACGGGAGGCAGCAGUGGGGAAUUUUGGACAAUGGGCGCAAGCCUGAUCCAGCCAUGCCGCGUGUGGGAAGAAGGCCUUCGGGUUGUAAACCACUUUUGUCAGGGAAGAAUCGGUCUGAACUAAUACUUUGGACUAAUGACGGUACCUGAAGAAUAAGCACCGGCUAACUACGUGCCAGCAGCCGCGGUAAUACGUAGGGUGCAAGCGUUAAUCGGAAUUACUGGGCGUAAAGCGUGCGCAGGCGGCUUUGCAAGACAGAUGUGAAAUCCCCGGGCUCAACCUGGGAACUGCAUUUGUGACUGCAUGGCUAGAGUACGGUAGAGGGGGAUGGAAUUCCGCGUGUAGCAGUGAAAUGCGUAGAUAUGCGGAGGAACACCGAUGGCGAAGGCAAUCCCCUGGACCUGUACUGACGCUCAUGCACGAAAGCGUGGGGAGCAAACAGGAUUAGAUACCCUGGUAGUCCACGCCCUAAACGAUGUCAACUGGUUGUUGGGAGGGUUUCUUNUCAGUAACGAAGCUAACGCGNGAGUAGACGCGNGGAGACGCGCGAGUAGAAGUAAUAGAGUGAGNGNGNGAGNGCGAGACGACGACGAGGGAGGAGG
rnacentral:rRNA from 1 species